rnacentral:rRNA from 1 species
CGUACACUCCUGCGGGAGGCAGCAGUGGGGAAUAUUAGACAAUGGGCGCAAGCCUGAUCCAGCCAUGCCGCGUGAGUGAUGAAGGCCCUAGGGUUGUAAAGCUCUUUCACCGGUGAAGAUAAUGACGGUAACCGGAGAAGAAGCCCCGGCUAACUUCGUGCCAGCAGCCGCGGUAAUACGAAGGGGGCUAGCGUUGUUCGGAUUUACUGGGCGUAAAGCGCACGUAGGCGGACUAUUAAGUCAGGGGUGAAAUCCCGGGGCUCAACCCCGGAACUGCCUUUGAUACUGGUAGUCUUGAGUUCGAGAGAGGUGAGUGGAAUUCCGAGUGUAGAGGUGAAAUUCGUAGAUAUUCGGAGGAACACCAGUGGCGAAGGCGGCUCACUGGCUCGAUACUGACGCUGAGGUGCGAAAGCGUGGGGAGCAAACAGGAUUAGAUACCCUAGUAGUCC